rnacentral:rRNA from 1 species
CUCGUAGGUGGCCAACUAAGUCAGACGUGAAAUCCCUCAGCUUAACUGGGGAACUGCGUCUGAUACUGGAUGGCUUGAGAUUGGGAGAGGGAUGCGGAAUUCCAGGUGUAGCGGUGAAAUGCGUAGAUAUCUGGAGGAACACCGGUGGCGAAGGCGGCAUCCUGGACCAACACUGACACUGAGGAGCGAAAGCCAGGGGAGCAAAACG